rnacentral:piRNA from 1 species
UGACCAUCAAUUGCAUAGACACAGAU